UUCUGUCUCCAGUCGCUGACAUCUGCUUCUGUUGUUACAGCUGCUACUGACUCUGACUGAUAAGGACCCUUGUGAUUCCCUUGGGCCCAUGCAGAUCAUCUAAGAUACUCUCCCCACCCCCAAGAUCCUUAAUCACAUCUGCAAAGUUCCCUUUGCCAUGGUAGGUCACAUAGUCACAGGCUCAGGGGAUUAGGAUGUGGACCUCAUUAGGGGCCAUUAUUCUGCCUGCUACAAGAAUAUACUAGAAUAUAGGGGCGCCUGGUAGUGGAGAGAAGCCUCAAAUACCAAGCUAAGGAGCUAGGACGUAGGCUUUCCUUCAAAACACACUCGUAAUCUGUCACCUUCUCACUACCUCUGCUCUUACCCUGACUCGAGUCACCAUCACUUUUUGUUCAGACUAUUGCAGUAGUCUCUUCGCUGUUGCAAUGGCUCCUCGUGUCCCUUCCCCCCACCCCCAUAGACUCGUCUCCACCAGCA